rnacentral:rRNA from 1 species
GAUGAACGCUGGCGGCGUGCCUAAUACAUGCAAGUCGAGCGAACGGACUCGAAUCUUGCUUCUCUGAUGUUAGCGGCGGACGUGUGAGUAACACGUGUAUCCCCUCCCUAUAAGACUGGGAUAACUUCGGGAAUCCGGCGCUAAUACCGGAUAAUCUUUUGCACCGCAUGGUUCAAAAGUUAAAGACGGUCUUGCUGUCUCUUAUCGAUGGUUCCGCGCUGCAUUAGCUAGUUGGUAAGGUAACGGCUUACCAAGGCAACGCUGCAUAGCCGAACUGAGGGGGGGAUAGGCCACACUGGAACUGAGACACGGUCAAGACUCCUAAGGGAGGCAGCAGUAGGGAAUCUUCCGCAAUGGGCGAAAGCCUGACGGAGCAACGCCGCGUGAGUGAUGAAGGUCUUCGGAUCGUAAAACUCUGUUAUUAGGGAAGAACAUAUGUGUAAGUAACUGUGCACAUCUUGACGGUACCUAAUCAGAAAGCAACGGCUAACUACGUG